UUUGCUUUACAAUUCCAAUGAAGCCUCAACCUUCUCAUGAAAUGCUUUGGUUACACUGAAUUUGCUUCAUCUUCUUGCCAUGAGAAGCAACUUUUAUCCCAAUACAUAACAUAUCUAUAUGCAUACACUUGAAGACAUUCAUGUUCAACUUUCUCCCAUUGAUGGGUCAGAAGUCUCCCAUGCACAAUAAUUACAAAACCUG
rnacentral:misc_RNA from 1 species